rnacentral:rRNA from 1 species
CAGUCGCCACGGUAAUACGAGGGGGGCAAGCGUUGUUCGGAAUUAUUGGGCGUAAAGGGCGCGUAGGCGGUUUGGCAAGUUUCGUGUGAAAUCUUCGGGCUCAACUCGAAGUCUGCACGGAAAACUGCCGGGCUUGAGUAUGGGAGAGGUGAGUGGAAUUUCCGGUGUAGCGGUGAAAUGCGUAGAUAUCGGAAGGAACACCUGUGGUGAAAGCGGCUCACUGGACCAUUACUGACGCUGAGGCGCGAAAGCUAGGGGAGCAAACAGGAUUAGAUACCCCUGUAGUCCCUGUCUCUUAUAC